UACGUAGGGGGCGAGCGUUAUCCGGAUUUACUGGGUGUAAAGGGAGCGUAGACGGCGAUGCAAGUCUGAAGUGAAAGGCGGGGGCCCAACCCCCGGACUGCUUUGGAAACUGUAUUUCUAGAGUGUCGGAGAGGCAAGUGGAAUUCCUGGUGUAGCGGUGAAAUGCGUAGAUAUCAGGAGGAACACCAGUGGCGAAGGCGGCUUGCUGGACGAUGACUGACGUUGAGGCUCGAAAGCGUGGGGAGCAAACAGG
rnacentral:rRNA from 1 species